UCAGCUUACAACUCCUCUCUGUCCUGCAAUACCCCGCCAAGAAUUUCAGGGUUCAGGGUCUAGGCAUUUGACUUUGAGCAAAACUUACGUGCAGAGAACUUGGACCUACGGCUAGAGGGAUCAAAGGCUCAGGACCAGACUCCGACUCCCGUGCCAGCAGAAAGUGCAGGCACUGGCCCUGCACUUCCGGAAGUUCUGCCAACUUCACUCUCCUUAGUUUUCCGACCCGCACUCUACAGCACUCUUUGAGAGUUCGGGAGAAUGAAAUCGCCUCUCAAAACCUCAAGGCUGGGAGAGAGAGACAGGAGAUGAAGGAGAAGAGGAGAUGAAGUCGGCCACUUGGCCACAGAUUCAAGAUUCGGUCGUCCCUCAGCUUCCCUGGUGAGCGAUGCCAGCCCCCAACAGGAGCAGUAAGCAAAGGUCAUUACUACGCAAACUGGUGUGUUCAGGAACUCCGAAGAAUCAGCAACUGGAGGACACCCCGGGGCCAGGGUUCUUGGAAAAGUGAGAGAUGCAACCCCAAACUGAGUUUGCUGAGGCAAAGCAUUUGAAGUGAACUGUUUUCUUCUAAGGUGCGUUCUGUCGGCUCCCGGGUGGGGUACCUCAGAUGCUAAGAGACACUUGAAAGUGAAGGCUGAAAUAAAUGAACGACUGAACUAAU